GGCGCUAGGACCCAAUCGGACGUGCUAGGAGGGGCGGCGGCCAAGUGGUCCGGGAGCCGCGCGUUCGGGUGUGGGGGACCGUAGCUUGGACCCGGGAGGGCUGCGGGCCUACUCAAGCUGCUUUUCUUCUUCCAUCACCUUCUCCUUUCGCUGUGCACGGGCCACACAGUGGAACUGCACCGGUGAAAACGACUGAAGUCGGGGCGCUGUAACCUCCUGACGACCCUGAGGAGCGGCAGCAGAGGGCAAGGACCAUGUUCACUUGUUCCCUGGUCUAGGAGUGGUAUUUCUGGAUCAUAAGGGAAACACAAGUAAGAAUGGAGGAUGCUCUUCUCCCUAGAAGCUAACAAAGGGUCAAGUCUUUCUCUGUGAAAUAGCUGUAGAAUAUAAACAGAGGCUCCUGGCAUUUCCCUACUGGCUCAGUUCAAGAACCACCCACUCCAAGCUGUCUUCCUGGAUUUUCUCAGCCCAAAGUAAUCCUUCUUUUUCUGAGGUACAAAAGAGGUUCAACAGUGAGUAUUGCAGAUGCUGAGCUUCAUCUGUGAACAAAACCUACUGAGUCUCUGACCUCAUGGAACUCAUGAUGUGGACUCAGGGCCACACAGGAACAACUCACAGCAAACUACAGGGGCACUCAUGACAGGUCUGUGCCCAGGGAAGUCCACCAAGUCUCCAGGUCUGAGGCAUUUAUGAAACAAAACUCAAGUCUCAAAUGAAAGGAUCCCUGAAGACUUCCUUAUGGAUUUUGUCUCUGGGAACAUGGAUGACUAUACCUCUUUAAAUGAAUUCUUGUAUCAUCACAGCAGUGCUUUGAGGUGAGUACUAUGAUUAUUCACAUUUUGCAGAUAAGAAAACUGAGGUUCAGAAAGUUAUGUAAUUUGCCCAAAGUCACACUGUAAGUAGCAGUACAGCCAGAGCCUGCAUCCAGGCCUGAAUACUCUAAAUUUACAUAUUGGCUGUUAAUAGUAAUAAUCUUUAAGUGAUAGGAUUAUAGUGAUUAUUUUUUUCUACUUUAAAUUUUCUUUUAUACUCUUAAUUUUCUACAGCCAUCACUUAUCAAUUUUAUAAUCAGGAAAAAAUAGCAGCUCCUCCCAGGUAUUCCUGCCACCCAAGGAUAUACUGACUUCUGGCAGAAGUGUCUAGGGGCAAAGGUAGGGCCAAGGGCCUUGGGGCAGGAAAUACUAAAGAGUUCCCUGUGGCUCGGCCUCCCCAGCUCCAUGGCUAGUCCACCCUUCUCCUGGGAACACUGCCUUCACUGGACUGGACAGGCACCCACCUUGGUCUGGGUUCUUUGCUUCUGUACAAGUAGAGUCUUGCUGAGGAAAGGAAUAGCGUAUGGGCAGAGACAAAGCGCAGGAACGACCUGCUUUUUAAAUUUCCUACUAAAAUUGCCUCCCUGAAUUCCUGUGUCUCACACUGCUUGCCUCGUAGCUGUGCCCUAUGUAACAGGAGUUCUAACUUGGCACCUUUGUUAUGCUUCUCUACCACCUCUACCCUUAGACCAGGGCUCAGGCAGCCUCCUUCUGGCUCUGACUAACCAACAACCUUGUUUAGGGGGCUUCAUGUGGCCGCCAGUGGGUCAUCACCACUUUGUCCUAUUUCUAUGCGUGUAUCCGCUACCCCACCUGCCUCCUUAUCACAACUGGUAUUUUUCCUAAACUGGGAUCUUUUAAGGGAAGAUGAGGCCAGAAAAUGCAACAGACUCAGUGUGACACCCACCGCCCCCCACCUUUCUCUAGACCUGGGAAGACUUACUCAGUGCUCCUGCCUUAAGAAAAACAAAUCGGUCCAUGAAAGAAAGACAUUCUGGGAGUCUGCCCCAGGUUAGCCAAGAGACCUGGGCAUGAAACUGAGCUCUCUGGCUUCCUGGGCCCCCUGUGCUGUCUAUAUUUAGCCAAGCUGCCCCGAGCCUUGUCCACCUUGACUGAAAGCCAAAGCAGGCAGUUUGCUUAUAAACAUUCUGUGCCUGCCAGCUCAUGCCAGCCAACCAUUUAGAUACCGGUUUUAAAAUGUGAGGCUCCCCUUGCACCCAACUCUGAGGGUCUGCAGAGAAUACACACCAAGGGCUCCACAGCCCAAGUUUUUCCCAAGGCCAAGAGUGACCUCAGCCAAGUGCCUGAAAAUGAAAGGCGUGUCUCUCACCGCUUC